GAUGAACGCUAGCUACAGGCUUAACACAUGCCAGUCGAGGGGCAGCAUGGUCUUAGCUUGCUAAGGCCGAUGGCGACCGGCGCACGGGUGAGUAACACGUAUCCAACCUGCCGUCUACUCUUGGACAGCCUUCUGAAAGGAAGAUUAAUACAAGAUGGCAUCAUGAGUCCGCAUGUUCACAUGAUUAAAGGUAUUCCGGUAGACGAUGGGGAUGCGUUCCAUUAGAUAGUAGGCGGGGUAACGGCCCACCUAGUCUUCGAUGGAUAGGGGUUCUGAGAGGAAGGUCCCCCACAUUGGAACUGAGACACGGUCCAAACUCCUACGGGAGGCAGCAGUGAGGAAUAUUGGUCAAUGGGCGAGAGCCUGAACCAGCCAAGUAGCGUGAAGGAUGACUGCCCUAUGGGUUGUAAACUUCUUUUAGAAAGGAAUAAAGUCGGGUAUGGAUACCCGUUUGCAUGUACUUUAUGAAUAAGGAUCGGCUAACUCCGUG
rnacentral:rRNA from 1 species